rnacentral:rRNA from 1 species
GACGAACGCUGGCGGCGUGCUUAACACAUGCAAGUCGAACGGUAAGGCCCUUCGGGGUACACGAGUGGCGAACGGGUGAGUAACACGUGGGUGAUCUGCCCUGCACUUCGGGAUAAGCCUGGGAAACUGGGUCUAAUACCGGAUAGGACCACUGCCUGCAUGGGUGGUGGUGGAAAGCUUUUGCGGUGUGGGAUGGGCCCGCGGCCUAUCAGCUUGUUGGUGGGGUGAUGGCCUACCAAGGCGACGACGGGUAGCCGGCCUGAGAGGGUGACCGGCCACACUGGGACUGAGAUACGGCCCAGACUCCUACGGGAGGCAGGAGUGGGGAAUAUUGCUCGAUGGGCGCAAGCCUGAUGCAGCGACGCCGCGUGAGGGAUGACGGCCUUCGGGUUGUAAACCUCUUUCAGCACCGACGAAGCGCAAGUGACGGUAGGUGCAGAAGAAGGACCGGCCAACUACGGGCCAGCAGCCGCAGUAACAC